rnacentral:rRNA from 1 species
CCCUUAGAUGUCCUGGGCCGCACGCGCGCUACACUGAGUGUCUGAGAUACGAGUCUGCCUGGUCCGGCAAGGUCUAGGUAAUCGCUAAAAGACACAUCAUGCUUGGGAUAGAUUAUUGCAAAUAUUAAUCUUGAACGAGGAAUUCCUAGUAAGCGCAAGUCAACAGCUUGCGUUGAUUACGUCCCUGCCCUUUGUACACACCGCCCGUCGCUACUACCGAUUGAAUGGUUUAGUGAGAUCUUUGGAUUGGCGCUGUGGGGGUGGCAACGCUCCUUCAGAUUGCUGAGAAAUUGCUCAAACUUGAUCAUUUAGAGGAAGUAAAAGUCGUAACA